AUUGAACGCUGGCGGCAUGCUUUACACAUGCAAGUCGGACGGCAGCGGGGUAGUGCUUGCAUUACUGCCGGCGAGUGGCGAACGGGUGAGUAUAAUAUUGGAACGUACCGAGUAAUGGGGGAUAACUAUCCGAAAGGAUGGCUAAUACCGCAUACGUCCUGAGGGAGAAAGCGGGGGACAGGCAACUGCCUCGCGUUAUUUGAGCGGCCAAUAUCGGAUUAGCUAGUUGGUGGGGUAAAGGCUUACCAAGGCGACGAUCCGUAGCGGGUCUGAGAGGAUGAUCCGCCACACUGGGACUGAGACACGGCCCAGACUCCUACGGGAGGCAGCAGUGGGGAAUUUUGGACAAUGGGGGGAACCCUGAUCCAGCCAUGUCGCGUGUAUGAAGAAGGCCUUAGGGUUGUAAAGUACUUUUGUUAGGGAAGAAAAGGCAUUUGCUAAUAUCAGAUGCUGAUGACGGUACCUAAAGAA
rnacentral:rRNA from 1 species